rnacentral:rRNA from 1 species
AGGACGAACGCUGGCGGCGUGCCUAACACAUGCAAGUCGAACGAGGUCCAACCGGUAGCAAUACCGGUGAAGACCAAGUGGCGAACGGGUGAGUAGCACGUGAGCAACCUGCCCCGAAGACCGGGACAACACCGGGAAACCGGUGCUAAUACCGGAUAUCCCCACCGAGUCGCAUGGCUUGGUGAGGAAAUGGAUUCCGCUUCGGGAGGGGCUCGCGGCCUAUCAGCUUGUUGGUGAGGUAACGGCUCACCAAGGCUUCGACGGGUAGCUGGUCUGAGAGGACGAUCAGCCACACUGGGACUGAGACACGGCCCAGACUCCUACGGGAGGCAGCAGUGGGGGAAUCUUGCACAAUGGGCGAAAGCCUGACGCAGCCAUGCCGCGUGAAUGAUGAAGGUCUUAGGAUUGUAAAAUUCUUUCAGCGGGGAAGAUAAUGACUGUACCCGCAGAAGAAGCUCCGGCUAACGUUCGUGCCAGCAGCCGCGGU